AUUACUGCAAGACUGGCCUUUGAUCUUAUGACCCAGUCCCCUAAGCAUUGCCACCCCAUUUCUGGUUCCUCUUGUCACAGCACAAAUUUCCAGCUGGAAGGGGAAUGGAGAUUGGGACCUAGGAGCAAGAGGUUUCAGGCUGCCUCACUCCCUUAGCAUAAACAUUGACAGCGGGAAAAGCCUACACUUCCCCUUUAAAAGAAUAUUGGCAGAGAAACAGCCCUGGUGUUCCAGCAGGAGCCAAGAGGAACAGGAAAACAAAUGGCAGCAUCCAUGAGACAGCCACUUCUGGUGGUUGCCACUCACCUGGAGAUUCAGCAACAGGUAUCCACGGGGAGAGCCCUACAUCAUCUGCUACCCUGAAGGAUCUGGAGAGCCCGUGCCAAGAACUAGCAGUAGUCCCAGACUCGAGGUCCGUAAAAGUCAGUCAACUGAAGAACACCAUCAAAUCUUUGAAACAACAGAAUAAACAAGUGGAACAUCAGCUGGAAGAAGUAACAUGAUUUCUUUGUUUGCUCGCGACAUGACUGCUCGGUUUGGGGGACACUCAGAUGUAGAGGCCCCGAGUCUCG
rnacentral:lncRNA from 1 species